rnacentral:rRNA from 1 species
GACGUAGGGUGCGAGCGUUGUCCGGAUUUAUUGGGCGUAAAGAGCUCGUAGGCGGUUUGUCGCGUCUGCCGUGAAAGUCCGGGGCUCAACUCCGGAUCUGCGGUGGGUACGGGCAGACUAGAGUGAUGUAGGGGAGACUGGAAUUCCUGGUGUAGCGGUGAAAUGCGCAGAUAUCAGGAGGAACACCGAUGGCGAAGGCAGGUCUCUGGGCAUUAACUGACGCUGAGGAGCGAAAGCAUGGGGAGCGAACAGG